ACGCGCGAAGACAACUUUGAAAAAAAUAUAAAAAAAAAUCGAUGAAGAAUCUUGAUUUUUUUCGUCUUAGAAGAAACAAUCUCAUCAUUGAAGAUAAUACCUUACCCUUCAUGUAUCAUGAAAAUCAUGAUACAUAUGAGAACCUGUUUAAUAUCUCACAUUUAAAAUGCAAUUCGCAAGUUCUAUUUGUACACUCGACAUUUUUAAUUCCACUGUCGUCAAAACUUUCACUUCGUCGAAACGCUUUACGGAAAACCUUCUUGUCCACAAUGCCAAAGUGGAUAAUACAUGAAUAAUAUUAUUGAUGAUUUUCUACACCUGAAGAUCUUUUCCUUACAUCGAAAGUCCUAUUUUGAACAGUGAUAUUGCUAGAAAAUAAUUGAUGAUUUUUUUAUAACUUUGCUGAGAAAAAAAAUGAUUUGAGUGAAAAUCAAUAAACCAGAAUCUUCUAGUUUGUUCAUUUUCAAUCAAAUUUUUCCCAGUGUUCAUAAUCAAAAUAAGAAAUAACAUUGCUUACAAGUAAGGAUUAUGUGCAGAUAUAAAUAAUAAAUAAAUGAACUCAUUUACUUUCCAUUAUUCACUUUAUUGAUAAAGAAUUUUUGCUAAAGGAUUAUCGGUAAAUUAAAAAUAUUUAGUUUGUGGGGCCUAAGUGAGGAGUUGCCAAUAAUACAUUUUAUACAUACAUAUGACUAUACUUAGAAGCUGCUUGACGUACAAAACUAACAUAUUACUGCUGCCACUUAAAAUACUCUGCAGUAAAUAUGCGAACUGUCGUGCCAAGCAGGAAUCGUUACUGCAGUUAUAAUGUAUGUAAUCAUCAUUACAUACUCGUCUCAACUCUCCAACGAUUGCUAAAUUUUACUAUUGGAUAACAGCCAACGUAAACGAAAAUGAACUUCGCCACUAUGUCUGGUUUCAAUAAGGUUUCAAGGUCGAUAUUUAAUUUCCGCUUCUCAAAAAGAUAUACUACGCGUAAAAAUGAUAUCCAUAAUAAAUGUUUGUCUGAAGGAUAUUAAAAACGAGAAAAUUGACUCGGAUUUUCAUUGAACACUAUACACACUUCAAUAUUCUGAUAAGAAUUUUUAAGAGAUUCAAGCUUGCAAUGUAAAAAGGCACAAUUGGAUUAUUAAAGUAUGCGCUGCAGAUCCUGCUUUAUUCUGAAGAGAGUAAGAAGCGAUCUAAGGCAUCGAAGAAAGUCAUUUAUGGAGCAGAACCAAUGUCAUUCAUGACAUUCCAGCAAGCGACAUGUUAUAUCCCGCCAACACAGAUCUUGCACGCACCAAACAAGGAACUUGUUUGGGAUCAAGCUGUGCUUGAUGGAACAAAAUUACAGUAUCCACUUCUGAAUUUGGAGUACCCAUCCCAAAAUUUUCCAGUUUCUUGGUCCUCUAAUGUCUCAUUAAUGACAACAAAUAUGUCUCUUGAAACAUUUAAAUCUCCUUCUGAACUGUCUGUUAAAUCUUUUUAUCCUCUUAUUGAUUUUUCUGCUGGACCUUCUACUGAUUCUCUUACCGCACCUCUUCGUGAGUCUCCUACUGACCUUUCUACUAAAUCUUCUACAUAUUGUUGAUCGACCAUUAACAAUCAAUGAAGUAAAUCGAGGAAAACGUGUAGAAUCCAAAGAAAAUUGUGCCGCCUCCAAAGUGAUAGAACGAUUGUCAGGACGAGCACUGAACCUGACUAUCAAUCAUUGCCAACAUUUCGGACAUUGCUUCGCGAGAUGUGCAGUCAACACUGCUACAUAUUCAGUGAUUCGAGCAAAUCGCAUUCAAUCAAGAAAUUCUUUAAAAAAAACUCGCGAAAAAUUAUUAUAUCGGUUUCACAGCAAGUUCCCAGACGUUUUUCGUCCUUUGCUUUUAAUCGCUGAUUGUGAUUGUAGUCCUUCGUGAAAGGAUACCGCUUCUCUACGAACAAUCUCACAAUGAUCGACGCCAUCGCGAUAACAGAUCUUUGCGGUAAUCGAACGAUCGGUCGUGGACGGUCGUGGACGGUCGUGGACCGUCAUGCGAACAACAAGAUCGCAGAGCGUAACCCAUUCAUUUUUCAAACGAUCACCCGCGUUUCCUCGGCAGGCGAAUGCUGAAUUGUAUACAAUCGCCGCGUUCGGAUUUUCGUUUCAGGCGAAACGAAAUCGACGGACCCUGACGUUACGCAUGGUAAAUCAGCUCCCGCAAGGCAGCUCAAUCAAGCAUAAUCUCGGAGAAUGAGAAGACCGCGACAUACCGUUUCUGACAUCCCUUGAGCUUGUCUGGCGAGUUCAUGUACCGCGUCUGUCCAUUUUAAAAUUCGGUGCGAGAACGCGAUGGCAAGAUGCCGCUGCAGAGAAAAACGACCGUAAGCGCGACAGGCAUCAAGCGAAUCGUUAAGAAAUCUAUCCGAUCAUAAGUAACGGUUUUAUUCGCUGGUUUCUCCACAACGAUGGCGGAUGGCCAAUUUUGUGUAUGGAAAACCGGACACUGAAUGACGGCGGUGGCUGCGCAAGCAAGGCGAUGCCUUGGUCGAAUUAAUCGAUGAUGGAUAUAGUGAUUUUGAUGCUUUCUGC
rnacentral:misc_RNA from 1 species